UAAUCCAGGUCUGACAAGGUCAAACAGAUCAAUAAUAAUUACUAAGGCUGCAUGUUAUGGAUGUGCAGCAUCCUCAGUGUUUGAUGGGAAAGAGGCUUAUUGUUGUGUGAAAAGGAGUGUGCAGGGCUAGGGAAGCAGGAAGCAGAGAGGAAUCUCAUGGGGCAGCAGGUGACAGCAGUGCAGCGAAAUGAUCAGAGUGAGUGUGAGAUCAGAGGAGGAGACAUGUGUUAGAACAAUUACUCAAUAGAUUAUAAGAUUGAGACUGUGGCCAACAACAAGAGUGGAGAAAUUAAUUUGUGGAUCCAAAAUGUCAAAGACAUUGAGCAAUAAGAAGGCAUUGUGUGCAUACAUGUUCAUUUAUUUAUAGUGUUUUAAACCAACAGAAAAAGUAAAAAAAAUAACAGCUACUGGCAGAAAUGAUAUGAUGACCUCUGGAACACUGAAGAAAGCUGGAAAAAGAAAGGAGUUCAAGCCCAAAGUCACACAAGGAAUGCUUCAAUGGGCUUUAACAGGCCCUGUUUUAUUUGACAACCCCAACCCAGCUUUUGACUCCCUAAGAAGACAAGAAAGAACUUCUAAAAAGACCCUUGCACGGAAAAAAAAAAAAGGAAAAAUCUUUGGAAAGGCAAUUCAGUGAGAGACCCCCUUCAAGUUUAUCUGCUGUAUUGCCAAAUGUUUUGAGGACAAUGGAAUUCUUUCUUCACAUUAUCACCAAAGCAAGCAAACAUAUAAUACAUAAAACAAUUUUGAAGAGCACAGUUAAAUGUAUUUAUUAGAUCUUAAAAACCGUAAACACAGAUACCUAAAGAAAAUCAUAAAUGAGUGAGGUUUCAAAACCUGUGCAACAGUAAGGCAAACAAAUUUCAAUGGCUGAAGAUGAUUUGAAUAUGAAUAAAUUUAAUGAAACAUUUUAUGUUCUUUAUCAACGUAAAAGAAGCUUCUGUAAUUGGUAACCAGCUCGACAGCAGUGUACAAUUUCAAACAGAGAGCUUUUUUUGUUUAAUGGUAACUGUAAGCUUUGUGUUCGAACUAACCACCAUUCAUGUCAAUGUGGUCAUGAACCUUGCAGCAGUCUCCGUUUUCAUCACUUUCUAAGUGUUUAGGAAUGAAAGACAAACUUCAGCAAUACAUUUUUGCUGCCAGUGGCAGACUGACUCAUCCUGGGCUUGCCCAAACAAUGUCUUUCAUCAAUAAAAUGUUCACCCUCCUCUCCUUAUACAGCUUCAGAUCAUAUUUCCAAUUGUUGCAAAAGUAAAGUUCUGGUCAACAAUUUGCCCUUUUAUGUCUGUUUAGCCUUUUUUCUAAGAAAAUGAAGUGAAGUAAACAGAACAACUGGAGUAGUGUUACAUUGAACAGAUAUGGUGGUUCAAAUUACUAGCUGGAACAGAGUUCAUAGUUAAAAAGAUAAAAAUCAUAUAUAACUAUCUUUAAUUUAAACACAAAAUGAAGGCUGUAAAACAAAUGUCUGCAUAAUACCCUGACUUUUGUACCUAUCUACCUAUUUAAACCUAUAAAAAUAAUUGAAAUUUGGGAAAAAGCAACACAAGUAUUUCAUAGCUGUUGAGCAAAUGACAUUAACUAUCUUGACUUUCAAAAACUAUUGAUAUGGCACCACAUCAGAAAUUCGUAUUUCAUAAGAAUCGGGAUGUGGUGUGCAGAUAAGCAUAGACUUGAGCUAAACAACUUGGUCAUAUUACAUAAGCUAUUUUUUGAAUUUAUGCAAAUGAUAUAUGGCUUUGUUCAGGUAAAAGUGCUUGGGCUUUUGUUCUCUUGAAUUUAGGUAAAGAAUUUAAAUACAAGUACAACAAGCCAGAGUAGCACUGUGGUCCAUUGAUAGUGCUGCUACUUCACUGAUCCAGCAUUCUGAGUUUCAGUUCAGUGGCUGGUGGUUUUCUACGUGAUAUUUGCAUGUGGCUAUGUAGACUUAAGGAGAACAAUGUUUAAAUCAUUUAUUACAAAUACACAAAUAUAUGAAAAUGUAUAAAAAAAGGUACUGCUAUACAUGCAGGAGGUUAAAAAAUAGAUUUGGGGGUAUAAAGCACAUUUUAUGAAAAAGUUACUUGGAGCAACCAAAUUAUAGCACUUCAGAUUCUUAUCUUGCUAUCUGAUAUAGAAUAGCACAAUCCUCUCAAAAAUUGUACCAUAUUGUUUGUUUAAAGGUACAGUUUGAGGUGACUUGCUGGAAAUUGAUCAUCACCAUCCAGCCGAUCAGAUGAUAAAAUAACACAGAGACUCCCUAACAGGUCAGUUCCUUUUAGUGUUUCAGAAGGCUAAGGGACGCCGAAAUGGAUUUAAGUCUGCCUCAAGCAAGGGGCCCCUCUAUUUGGAGUUUGUUGGUUGAGCUGGAGCAAGGGUUUAUUAAUAAGAGGCCAGUUUUGUUAUGAAUUAGUUUUGCCUUUAAAUUUUCAUAGCAUCUAUUUAAUGUUGUUUACCUAGGGGUGGCAAUUCUGUUUAUCUUUAUUUUUAUAUCUGAACCUUAAUUAAAGGUGAGAAAAUGA